GACGAACGCUGGCGGCGUGCUUAACACAUGCAAGUCGAACGAAGUGGCGAACGGGUGAGUCACUCUUAAUCAACCUGCCCUUCAGAGGGGGACCACAGUUGGAAACGACUGCUACUACCGCAUACUGAAGGAGGGGCUUGCGUCUGAUUAGCUAGUUGGAGGGGUAACGGCCCACCAAGGCGAUGAUCAGUAGCCGGUCUGAGAGGAUGAACGGCCAAAGUGGGACUGAGACACGGCCAAGACGCCUACGGGAGGCAGCAGUGGGGAAGCUUCCGCAAUGGACGAAAGUCUGACGGAGCAACGCCGCGUGAGUGAUGACGGCCUUCGGGUUGUAAAGCUCUGUUAAUCGGGACGCGGUACCGGAAUAGAAAGCCACGGCUAACUACGUGCCAGCAGCCGCGGUAAUUC
rnacentral:rRNA from 1 species